rnacentral:rRNA from 1 species
UGGNGGCAACUCUGNUCCANCCAUGCCGCGUGCANGAUGACGGCCCUAUGGGUUGUAAACUGCUUUUAUACGGGANGAACCACAUCUACGUGUAGAUGCUUGACGGUACCGUAUGAUAUAAGGACCGGCUAACUCCGUGCCAGCAGCCGC